UACGUAGGGGGCUAGCGUUGUCCGGAAUCAUUGGCGUAAAGCGCGUGUAGGCGGUCCGGUAAGUCCGCUGUGAAAGUCGGGGGCUCAACCUCGGAUGCCGGUGGAUACUGUCGGGCUUGAGUACGGAAGAGGCGAGUGGAAUUCCUGGUGUAGCGGUGAAAUGCGCAGAUAUCAGGAGGAACACCAUUGCGAAGGCAGCUCGCUGGGACGGAACUGACG
rnacentral:rRNA from 1 species